CGCAAGUGCAGAUGACUUCUCUAUCCCAUUUUAAAUUCUUUUUGAAGAUCAUUCCCACGGACAUUCAUCUGCCUGCUCGCAGAUUUUCUUAGGGUGGUUUUC